CUCCCUCUUUUUCUUUCUUUCUUCCUCUCUUUUUAUUUCUCUCUCUUUCUCUCUUUUCUUCUCCCAGUUCGCUUCUUUUGCCUUCAUCGGUUCGCAUCGGUCUGAUACGAUAUAGGGCCAUACCGUACCAUGCCAUCGGCUGACCGAAACAACCACUAGUACCGACAUAGCAAACCUUGGUUAGGAUAAAUUAGAUAAUUAUGUUUGAGAAUUAUUUCUUUUUCUUAAUUGUCAUUGACAUCAUAGCCUUAUGUAUCCUCUAAUAUUUC
rnacentral:lncRNA from 1 species